rnacentral:tRNA from 1 species
GCUUUCAUAGUUUAAAGGUAGAACAGCUGCCUCGUAAGCAGUCAAUGACAGUUCGAUUCUGUCUGGAAGCU